UCGUUUAUAAUUUUUCUGAAACUGCUAAGGAUUUUGCGAGUUUAAUGCGAUUUUUUUCGUUUAAUUCUAUGCAGACUAUUUUGGCCUCUUCUGAUUCUUGUUGUCAUAACAGACUUUUGCUGCUUUAUGAAGAUUAGAAAUAUUGAGCUGGUCAUAAUUUCGGCUUAAAAACUGUAAUUAUACACGAGGCAAUCUUUUUUACAAGAAAAUGGCUUUUUAAAAUGAAGUCUUAAGAUGCUCGAAUGUCCUUGAGAAUGGGUCUUGCGCCAUGAUGAUAGCAGGAUGAUUAUUUCGCACAUGAAGGCUAAGAAAAGUCCAUCAAUCGUAGGUCUACCCUUGGAAAGAGUUUCUUCAACAUACCAAAGGCAUAAUAGUUCAUAAUAUGAAAUAUCAAGUCUUCACAAACAUAUGUAGAAAAGGUCCAGUUUGUCGCAAAAGCAAUUCAUAAUGCAGAGUAUCCAGGCAAUGCCCAUCCUCAUCUCCAUCAAUCAAGUCAAAGAACUGGCAAGUCAUGCACACGCCGUCGCCGAAAGUCGCAGAAUUAUAAGUUGUCUAUAUCCCAGUAAUGAUUGCAUAUUGCCUAUGAAAAAAAGUCGAUGCUAUCAAGUUACACUGUGUCCUGUUUUAAGUGGCAACACAAGAAGCUUUCAUCGCUUUGGAAGACAGAGUAAGACCGCACAAUUUAGAACAUUCGUUUAUCGGAACAGGCUGUAUGACAUUAAGAAUUGUUCCUUUCUCAUUUAGUCUCUCAGGAAAUCAUGAUUAAAAACCUUUUUUAAAAAUUUCGAAUUUAAAAAAUGUCUGCUUUUAGGGAAAUUGAAAUGUCGGGAAACUAAUUUUACAAAUAAGACGUUAUCCUUCAGAUAUUCCCCUUGAUUCAUCAGAUAACUUUACGUCAUAUUCAGCAUUAAAAAAAAUUGUAUGUGAUUUAUAGAUAUCUUUUUCGUUUUACUCUUUAAAAUGGAUCUUAUCUUAAAAAUGGGAGAUUUUAUUAGUUUACAAGAACUGGAAGUAAAACCGUUAGUCGGUUUAUUUGGUUUGAAUGAACUAAAACGCUAUAGCAUGUUGCCAUUCGAAUUUCGUUAAACUAAAUAUGUGGAAAAUCGGUGUUGUAGGCAAAUGAUUCAAAUUUACUAUGAAUAAAUGGAUUCCCUAAGUAAUUUUAACAAAUUAAAUUCUUAAUAUAAUUUCUCAGUAAUUAAUCUACAUAAAUAUCAGUCAAUCGUGAAGAGUAUAAUCUUAAACCACGUGUAUGAGGAUAGUAUUUUCCAUUCCAUAGAAGAAAAAAUCUAAUCAAAUUAAAGCAUUGCCCCAAUUGUGGAUUAUAUCAACCUAAUUUUCGGCGAUAUGUAGGCAAAUGAAGGCUAUAACUGUUGCAGAUGGCAAUAUGAAUAAAUUGAGUUUUCAGGUAAUAUUUCAAUUAUUAAAUUAUUCGGCGAAGGAUUGAGAAGUUACAAAAAAGCGUAAUUGGGGAUAAUUUGCUUUUUAGAAUUAACAUAAAAUGUUAAGAUUAUGAAAAAAGAA